rnacentral:rRNA from 1 species
UACGAUAUGAGUUUGAUCCUGGCUCUGAAUGAACGCUGGUAGUAUGCUUAACACAUGCAAGUCGAAUGCGUAAUAGCAUGGCGUACGGGUGAGUAAAAUAAGAGAAUUUACCUUUUAGUUUGCAAUAAGCGUUUAUAAAACGUGAAUAGCAAUUAAAUUUAAAAAGAAUGAAAGAUACUAUAAAAAUUAUAGUAUCGCUGAAAGAUAAGCUCUUAUAAGAUUAGAUAGUUGGUAAGGUAAUGGCUUACCAAGUCUAUGAUCUUUAGUUGAUCUUUGCGGAUGAUCAGCCACACCGGGACUGAAACAAGGCCCAGACUUCAAUUGAAGGCAGCAGUGAGGAAUAUUGGACAAUGAGCGCAAGCUUGAUCCAGCAAUACUACGUGAGUGAAAUAAGCGAUGACUUGUGAAAGUUUAUUUGAUUGUAAAACUCUUUAACUGGUGAGCAUAAUGAGAGUAGCCGGUCAAAAAGCCCUGGCCAAUUCCGUGCCAGCAGCCGCGGUAAUACGGGGGGGGCGAGUGUUAUUCAUCAUGAUUGGGCGUAAAGGGCAUGUAGGCGGUUUACAAAUAAAGAUUUAAAUCUUUUUUAUAAGAAAAAGUUAUCUUAAGUUCUUUGUAAACUUGAGUUUUUAUAGAGGAUAUUAGUAUUUUUCAAGGAACGAUAAAAUGUGUUGAUAUGAAAAGGAAUACCAAAUGGUGAAGACAUUUAUCUGGGUAAAAACUGACGCUGAGGUGCGAAAGCGUGGGGAGCAAACAGGAUUAGAGACCCUGGUAGUCCACGCUGUAAACGAUGAGUAUUCAUUUUUGGUUAUAAAAUAAUCAGAAAUUUAGCUAACGCGUUAAAUACUCCGCCUGAGAAGUACGUUCGCAAGAAUGAAAUUCAAAGGAAUUGACGGGGGCCUACACAAGCGGUGGAGCAUGUGGUUUAAUUCGACAAUACACGAAAAACCUUACCAGUUCUUGCAUAAAAAUAAUAUAGUUUUAAUUAACUAUUAUUACAAUUUUUACAGGUGCUGCAUGGCUGUCGUCAGUCCGUGCCGUGAGGCGUUAGAUUAACUUCUUAAUUAACGGACGAAACCCUUAUUUUUUGUUGCAACAUUAAUAUAUUGGUGGCACUUAAAAAAAACUGCCUUUAAAAAAAAGGAGGAAGGUGAGGAUGACGUCAAGUCUUUAUGGCCCUUAUGAACUGGGCUACACAUGUGCUACAAGGAUUAUAACAAAAAGUCGCAAUGGAGAUAUCCGGAGCUAAUCUUAAAAAAUAAUCUUAGUACGGAUUGUUUUCUGCAACUCGAAAACAUGAAGUUGGAAUCGCUAGUAAUCGCAAAUCAGCAUGUUGCGGUGAAUAUGUACCUGGGCUUUGUACACACCGCCCGUCACACGCCGAAAAUCUGUCUUUCUCGAAGUGUUUUAUUUGGGAAAAUAAAAAGCUAAAGAGGGGUGGGUAAUUGGGGUGAAGUCGUAACAAGGUAGCCGUAGGGGAACCUGUGGCUGGAUAAAAAGCAUA